GACGAACGCUGGCGGCGUGCCUAAUACAUGCAAGUUGAGCGCUGAAGGUUGGUACUUGUACCAACUGGAUGAGCAGCGAACGGGUGAGUAACGCGUGGGGAAUCUGCCUUUGAGCGGGGGACAACAUUUGGAAACGAAUGCUAAUACCGCAUAAAAUCUUUAAACACAAGUUUUAAGUUUGAAAGAUGCAAUUGCAUCACUCAAAGAUGAUCCCGCGUUUUAUUAGCUAGUUGGUGAGGUAAAGGCUCUCCAAGGCGAUGAUACAUAGCCGACCUGAGAGGGUGAUCGGCCACAUUGGGACUGAGACACGGCCCAAACUCCUACGGGAGGCAGCAGUAGGGAAUCUUCGGCAAUGGACGAAAGUCUGACCGAGCAACGCCGCGUGAGUGAAGAAGGUUUUCGGAUCGUAAAACUCUGUUGGUAGAGAAGAACGUUGGUGAGAGUGGAAAGCUCAUCAAGUGACGGUAACUACCCAGAAAGGGACGGCUAACUACGUG
rnacentral:rRNA from 1 species